GAUGAACGCUAGCUACAGGCUUAACACAUGCAAGUCGAGGGGUAACGAGAGGGAAGCUUGCUUUCCUUGUCGACGACCAGCGCACGGGUGAGUAACGCGUAUCCAACCUGCCCCCAACUAGGGAAUAACCUUGCGAAAGUAAGACUAAUACCCUAUAAUCUCCUCAGAUGUCAUCUGACGAGGAAUAAAGAUUUAUCGGUUGUGGAUGGGGAUGCGUCUGAUUAGCUUGUUGGCGGGGUAACGGCCCACCAAGGCAACGAUCAGUAGGGGUUCUGAGAGGAAGGUCCCCCACAUUGGAACUGAGACACGGUCCAAACUCCUACGGGAGGCAGCAGUGAGGAAUAUUGGUCAAUGGGCGGAAGCCUGAACCAGCCAAGUAGCGUGCAGAAUGACGGCCCUAUGGGUUGUAAACUGCUUUUAUACAGGAAUAAAGUUAGCCACGUGUGGUUAUUUGUAGGUACUGUAUGAAUAAGGACCGGCUAAUUCCGUGCCAGCAGCCGCCGUAA
rnacentral:rRNA from 1 species